rnacentral:lncRNA from 1 species
GCAACAGCUUUGUGUUCUUAGAAAUAAUUACCUAUGUUGGUCCUCCGAGGUAACACACCCUGCCCACCCCUCGCCACGUUCCCACUCUAGAAGGGCAGCAAGACUUCUCCCGUGGUGAUAAAUGAUGACAAGGUGGACAACGGAGGAACGUGAAACCAGAAGACACCUCCAAGCUGUUUUAUGGAAAGUCAAUAUGGCCACUUGUACCUCC